rnacentral:rRNA from 1 species
AGACGUCUACAUAGAUACCCGUGUAGUCCCAGCCGUAAACUAUGCGCGUUAGGUGUAUCGGUGACCACGAGUUACCGAGGUGCCGAAGGGAAACCGUGAAACGUGCCGCCUGGGAAGUACGGUCGCAAGGCUGAAACUUAAAGGAAUUGGCGGGGAGCACCACAACAGGUGGAGCCUGCGGUUUAAUUGGACUCAACGCCGGGAAGCUCACCGGAUAGGACAGCAGAAUGAUUGCCGGGCUGAAGACCCUGCAUGACUAGCUGU